rnacentral:lncRNA from 1 species
UGGCCCCCCAGUCGCCCCCCAGCCACCCUCAGCAGCCCCCCCUCCGCCUGGACCUCGUGGACACAGCCGUGGUCGCCCGGCAUCGCCCCCGGGGACCCGAAAGCCCCCCCAGCAACCGCUACGCCGGCGACUGGAGCAUCGAGCUGGGGAGAUACGAGGAGGUGACGAGCGGCGACAGUCGUGUCGCGAAUCGCCGGACCCUUAUCGUGACCGAUUUUGGUCUCGGCGACGAAAGCGAUUCGUCGUUCGCUCCGAUGCUUAACCUCAAAGACUUCGAUGCUCUCAUCCUCGACCUCGAGAGGGAGUUGGCCAAACAGAUCAACGUCUGUCUGUGAUGCCGGUACCGAGCAAAACGACACCGGUACCGAGCCAACGACACCGGCACCGAGCAAACGACACCAGCACCGAGCAAAUGGCACCGGUACCAACAACACCGGCACCGAGCAAAUGACACCGGCACUGAGCAAACGACAGCAGCACCGAGCAAACGACACCGGCACCGAGCAAACGACACCGGUACUGACAACACUGGUACCAACAACACCGGCACCGAGCAAACGACACCGGUACCGAGCAAACGACACCGGCACCGAGCAAACGACACCGGCACCGAGCAAACGACACCGGUACUGACAACACCGGUACCGAGCAAAACGACACCGGCACCGACAACACCGGUACCAACAACACCGGCACCGAGCAACAACAACACUGGCACUGAGCAAAUGACACCGGUACCGAGCAAACGACACCGGUACCAACAACACUGGCACCGAGCAAACGGCACCGGCACUGAGCAAACGACACCAGCACCGAGCAAACAACACCGGCACCAAGCAAACGACACCGGUACCAACAACACCAGUACCGAGCAAACAACACCGGUACCGAGCAAACAACACCGGUACCGACAACACCGGUACCAAGCAAAUGACACCGGCACUGAGCAAACGACACUGGCACCGAGCAAAACAACACCGGCACCGAGCAAACGACACCGGAUCAGGAAAAAAAACCCAAAAAAAACCCGACACCGGCACCGUCGAGUGAGCGACCAAAAAAAACCCCAAAAAUCGGCACUCGCCUUCGUUUGCCUUGGGUUUGCACAGCGACAGACGGAAGGGAAGCCGGCAGCAGGAGGUGAUGGAGCCUUUGUGGGACCCCAGACCCACCGGGUUGGACCCCCCACCCAACCCCCGUU